UAAUACGUAGGUGGCGAGCGUUGUCCGGAUUUACUGGGCGUAAAGGAUGCGUAGGUGGAAACUUAAGUGGGAUGUGAAAUCCCCGGGCUCAACCCGGGAACUGCAUUCCAAACUGGGUUACUUGAGUGCAGGAGAGGAAAGCGGAAUUCCUAGUGUAGCGGUGAAAUGCGUAGAUAUUAGGAAGAACACCAGUGGCGAAGGCGGCUUUCUGGACUGUAACUGACACUGAGGCAUGAAAGCGUGGGGAGCAAACAGG
rnacentral:rRNA from 1 species